rnacentral:rRNA from 1 species
GACGAACGCUGGCGGCGUGCUUAAUACAUGCAAGUCGAACGGAAAGGCCCUGCUCUUGUGGGGCGCUCGAGUGGCGAACGGGUGAGUAACACGUGAGUAACCUGCACUUGACUUUGGGAUAACUUCAGGAAACUGGGGAUAUUACCGGAUAGGAGCUCUUGCUGCACGGUGGGGGUUGGAAAGAUUCGGCGGUUGGGGAUGGACUCGCGGCUUAUCAGCUUGUUGGUGAGGUAGUGGCUUACAAAGGCUUUGAAGGAUAGCCGGCCUGAGAGGGUGGACGGCGACAAUAGUACUAAGAGACGGACCAGACUCCUACGGUAGGCAGCAGUGGAGAGUAUUACGCAGUGGGCGGAAGCCUGAGACAGCAACGCCGCGUGCGUAAUGACGGCCUUCUGGUUAAAAACCGCUUUCGCCUUUGACGAAGCGGUAUUGACGGUAAUGAGUAAGAAAGCACCGGCUAACUACGUG